GUUCGACGCUUCUUUGUCUUUGUUACCAGUGAAUCCUGUCCCAUGCCUGUCCUUUAUGAUGAAAGAACUUUGAACAGUCUCGACAAGCAGACAUAACGACUGCUAGCACAUGUUACUCGAUGAAACAAAGGAAGUACAGAGAGGGAUAAUCGGAAGAAAGAGCGAAGAAAGGUGACAGCAGCCUGCUCGAACGCAAUUAUUCUACAUCGUCAACCUUCUCACGUUUCCUUGGAGGAAUAAAACAUUUUUAGAGAUCACCACAACCGAACGACGUAACUGAGGAUGAUGAUAGGACGUUGAAACGACAUUGAAUUUCGAAAUCUCCAAAAUUGCGAUCGAAAUAAAAGUGCGAAGAAAAACGACUUGGAGGCUUCGUGAAAUGAACCUG